UUAAAUACACCAAGUUUCUAAUUCAACUUUCGUGUAUUUUUAUUUAUUAGUUUGCCAUCAUAACAGUCCAGUAAUUAAACAAAUAAGAUGCUGGUCUCAAGAAACAAGCCCAAUCCCUGUGAAGAACAAAGUUGAGGAUCCUGAACCCAACAUCUAACCUAUAUUAAGAUAGACCCUUUUCAAUCAAACACCGUAGGAUAAAACUCAUCACCACCCAAUAAUUAAUACAUUAGGAAAACAAGGAUACUAUUAACUGCACAUAACUUGUGAAAAAAAACAAAAGCUGCUCCUAACUAAAAAUCAAUCAUCAAUUAGACAUCCCAUGAAACCUAACAUUGCUUAAAUAUAACAAGCAUACCAUGGUACUCCUAAUGAACUAUAUUGCAAGAAAGCUACCUUAGUACAUUUUCCCUAUUCAAUUCACACAAUCAAGCAUGUAGUCCAACUACUAACUCAUUCAGCCCUUAUAAAGUGCAAAAUAUUUUUAAUCAAUUACACUCCCAGCAAAACCAACUAGAUCCUAAAAUAAAUACAGAGUAUCUGAUGGCACAUUUGAAUACACACGCGGAAACUCAACUAAUGAAAACAUGAAACAGAUAGAUUCAAGACCAAAACAGAGUUAUGUUGAAUAAAUAACUUGGUGUUAACUUCAAAUUUUUGUUUCUAUUUCACCUUUUAACUUGAGCAUCACAUUCUACAAGUUUUGGAUCAUGUACCUCGAAAUUGCAAAAGAAAAAAAGGGUGAGAAAGCAAGCAACUUCAAACCGAACUUUAGAAACCCAAAUUCAGUCCAUUUUUAUCCCAGAUGGACCAGAAAUUGUUUUAGAAAUUGAAAACUUCAGAAAUCUCAGAAGAAAACUCAAUUGAACAGUAAUUUUUCUGAAAUUUCCUAGCUGUUUUUUAUUUUUCUAAAUUUUAUGCCUCAAAAAUCUCUUAUAAAAUCUCUCUAAAAUACGACUUGAAUGUCAAGUUUUGGUGCCUUUAUAGACAAUGUUCUAGGGCAGUAGAAAAAUUUCAGUUUUUGUCCAUUAAACAUUUUCUAAUUUUUAUUUUUGCUAUUUAAUCCCUGAAUUGUUGACUUGUUUGUCAAGUAAGUCUUUUUUUAGCUUUCAGGAAUCUUCUUAGUCCGUUACACCUAGAUUCCCCAACCUAAGUUUCCUAAAUUAACCCUUGAACAUACUGAUAUUACCCCUGAAACCAAAUGAGUAUGAGUUAUGAGUCCAAUUAACCCAAUGGUUCAACUAAAUGAUCGGGCUGCCAUUCUUUUGCAAAUGGAUAAGGAACCCAAAGCCCAAACAACUAAUUAAUCCCACUUUGUAAGAACCAGAAAAAAUUAAACACUUGAUUAAAUAAAAAAUAUCCGAGCUAAGCAACUGAUUCAUUAAUACAUAUAAACGGGGAAGUUGACUAAUUUAUUAAACCAAAUUAACAUAAUUAAGCUAAGCUAACAAGACUAAAAUCAAGAGGGAAAAUCAGAGGUCUAACGGGCUAAAUAAAUCAGAAACUUUCUUCUCUUUUUAUUUUUUCAAUUAAUUAAAAAAAAUGGAGGGAACACCUGAAUGGGAAACCAUUAUACCCAAAAAAUUAGUCGGGUUUUGAAAAAAAGAAAAGAAGAACAAACAUGCGAAAUAAAAUUAAUAAUGGAUACAAAGGCAGUUAGAACUCACCGAUUAAACUUGGAAAUACACUUGAUAUACUGACGCACACGAAACUGAUACUAAUAAUUGGUUCUUUGUCAAGAACAAACGAAUAACAGCAGUUUUGUGGUGAAUCAACCCUUCAAUCAUGAGGACACAAAGGCUGGAGUCUAUGCAUGCCACCAGGUUUCAACGGAAGUUGGUUUUGGAUUUUUUAGCGCUUGAACUAAGAUUCAAUAUUUGAAGGUUUCUGGGCAGAUUCGAGGGAAAGUGACUAUGGAUUAGGAAAGAGAGAGCCCUGGGGGUUCUUUGGUGUUAGUUUGGUGGUGGUUGGUGAUGGCGCCGCCACCGGAGAAAACUAGGGCGACUCUCUAGUCGCCCUUCGAUAUGAAAUUCGGGCAAUUUCGUAUGUAUUUGAGUUGAAUAAAUGGGAUUUGGGAUGGGGAGGUGGAGAAGAGUCGAGGGUGUUGUUUUGGUGGUGAUUGGCCGCCGGCAGCGAUUUCUGGCAGGCGGCGAAUGGUGGUUUAAGGUGACAUUUUGUAGGGAUGGACGGGGGUCUCUAAGUGUGAGGUGAGAGGCGACAGGGGGGGAGGGGAGGGGGUAUGGGCGUUUGACAUAUAAAUAUUAAAAUGACUAUCAGUCCCGG
rnacentral:lncRNA from 1 species